UAUGGUGAGUCUCAUCUGUGUGUCC
rnacentral:piRNA from 1 species